rnacentral:rRNA from 1 species
GACGAACGCUGGCGGCGUGCUUAACACAUGCAAGUCGAACGGAAAGGCCCUGCUUUUUUGGGGUGCUCGAGUUGCGAACGGGUGAGUAACACGUGAGUAACCUGCCCUUGACUUUGGGAUAACUUCAGGAAACUGGGGCUAAUACCGGAUAGGAUCUCCUGCUGCAUGGUGGGGGUUGGAAAGUUUCGGCGGUUGGGGAUGGACUCGCGGCUUAUCAACUUGUUGGUGGGGUAGUGGCUUACCAAGGCUUUGACGGGUAGCCGGCCUGAGCGGGUGACCGGCCACAUUGGGACUGAGAUACGGCCCAGACUCCUACGGGAGGCAGCAGUGGGGAAUAUUGCACAAUGGGCGGAAGCCUGAUGCAGCAACGCCGCGUGCGGGAUGACGGCCUUCGGGUUGUAAACCGCUUUCGCCUGUGACGAAGCGUGAGUGACGGUAAUGGGUAAAGAAGCACCGGCUAACUACGUG